rnacentral:lncRNA from 1 species
GAGAGCAAGCGAGAGAAGGCGCGCAAUAGAGGGAGGCUGUACCCACUAUAGCAUCAGUGUGUGACAGCUGGUGCCUGAUAGCACUGAUACCGAGCUCCUUCAGUGGAGAACUUGCUGAGCUACCCUUUUUUCGAUUGCAAGAGGAUGCCAGCUCUAAGCCAGUGCAACUGAUGACAGACUGGAUCUUGGAAUAGUUCGUUUCACUUACAAUCACAUCUCUCAUGUUCUGCUGCUCCGAAGAAAGGCUUAUUACGGAAGACAAAAAUUCAUUCUCCCCUUACCUCACAUAUUAUUGAUGAUAUACAGAGUUUGAUUUUCCAGUGAAAGCUACUGAAUUAUCAGGUUUUUGGUAUCUUCAGUGGAGGCUUGCAAGACUGUUUGGUGGAAAAUAUAUUUCUAAGGUCUUGGCUAGUCACCAAGCUACAAAACAAAUUCAAGACCAGAAGACAAAAAGGCAGCUGAGGUAGUAAUUCU